rnacentral:tRNA from 1 species
AUUUAUAUAGUUUAAUUAAAACAUUACAUUUUCACUGUAAAAUUAGACUCUCUCUUAUAAAUA